AGAAGAAUUGGGAAACCUUGGAAAGUUUUGAAAACUUGAGCCAAGUCUUCAUAAGGCACCUGCCAGCAGAAGAGCCAUUGAGGGGAUGAGCUGGGGGCUCCUGGGUGGGCUGCAUGAUUCAGCUGUAUUUCCAAAGACCUUCCUUUCUCUCUUGCCUUCUGCACCCCCCUCACGACCCCCCUCCGCCACCGCUCACUUUUCUUGCUAGCAGUUUCUGGGCUUUUCUGGCAGCCUCUACCUUUACCUCACCAGCUCUUGGUCCAGGCCCUUGGCCAGGUUGAAACUGGGCACAACUGAGCUCUGUUACCCAGCACACCAAACAAAGCUGUUACUUAUUUUCUUCCAGAAGCCCGCGGGACCCUUCCUGACCUGCUCCCCACCUCAAACUUUCUCCAUGCUGUUUCCCAUAGUCGGGCCUGAAAGACAAGGUUAAAUGAGCAAGAAAGGACCUGUCAAUCCGAGGGCUGCAGUGAAUUGCGGAGGGGUAAAUACAGGGCACUGAGUUUCUGCAGGAACAAUGCAUCUUAGAAAAUCGGUCAUCUCCAUGCUCUCCAUUCCUCUCCCAAGCAUGUUUUGGAAGCCCAAGCCUAAUCACAUCACCCUCUCUAAAUCCGUCAGUGACUUCUUAUCACUCUUAAGAAAAAGCAAGACUUCUUAAUGACAAGUUACAUGGUUCGGCCCAUUUGUGGAUCCUUUCUUUGGCUAAAGAUCUAGAACAACUGCAUUCUUGCAGAUUAUAAAUUAACAGGCAGUGAGUGAAAUUUUCAGAAUGCCAAGAGCCAGAGUGGGUCAGAGGGCUUCUCAACAGAAUCUUUUAUUUCCACAGUGACAUUAGGUAAUAACUGGAGGUUCGCCACACUGAUUUCACAGCCCUCUAUAGGGCCUUUGUAUAUGCCAUCUUCUUACCUGUCAAUAACCAUGAAAGGCCUGAGAUUUUAUGCUACUUGCAAGCUAAUGAGAGAGCCACACUUCCCUGGAUUCUGGCAGAAGACGUGAGAAUCCUAGGCCAGAGACAAAGGACUUAUUAUUCAUGCACAGCAAGCAGCAUGGGCUUCAUGUUUACAUCACUUCCUGGGAUAAGAAAAGAGUGAUUUUGAGUUGCUGCCUAGACAUUUGACAGUAUGACAACCCUGCUCACACCCAGAGUCUGGACAUUUAGCUAAGGACCCAAUUUAGGAUUCCCACCCACAAGUUCCUGCUUUGCUUUUCCUGGGGCACCUUUUAAAAUAACCACUUGGAGCUGAGUCCACAGAAAGUUAGUAACUGCUGCCCCAACCACCUUGUAAGUGAUGGGUGGACUUCUGCCAGACAGGAGUUCAAAUUCAUUUCCAAAUCCCUGGCUCCAACACUGUUGGUGUUGCACAUAGUAGAUGCUGUCAAAGACUCACAGAUGGAAACAUCCAGGCAAGAAAACAAUGGUGAAAAGUGAAAAGGAGUCGUCAGACUUCAGAAACAAAGAUUGGCUAGUCAAAGACAAAACCCAACCAGUAUUUAAAGGGAAGAGGAGAUGACCAAGGCCAGCACAUUCCUGGUGGAAAUGAGCAGCUUUGUCUCGGGCUCAUCUUAUUCACAACACAUAAAUCAGGGAUCAAAUUGUGCUCGUCAGAGAGUCCAUAUUUACGAGAAAUAGUCAAGGUUCAUGAUUUUGUGGUUCUGAACCACUCAGGAUAAUGUGUAGUUGGUUGCUUGUUGUUGGUUUUGGUUUUGGUGUAUCUCCAGCUGCAAAAUGCGUCCGCCCCCCCCGUGGCACUCAGGCGUGAAGGAAGCAGAGUAUCAGUUUUUUUUGCUUCUACAGUUUUUCUUCCCUUGUGGGCGAGUUCUUGCCAAUGAGAAAAUUUAAGUUGAUUAACAGUUGUUCUGAUUUGGCAUUAUUCAACUGAUAUCUUGUUUUACUUGGCUAAAAUUUAUUUCCGUAGCAACACAAGAGGUGUUGAUUAAUACAUAAACACUUUUCUUUUUGAGUGACUAAUGAGGUCAGAACCACACGGUACUGAGGCUUUACAGUGCACUUCUGUCUGGAGGCUUUGUUAAGCUCUCAGGGUUGUGAAUUGCAUUUUUACGUCAGAAGAAUUUUAUAUCCUUCUCAGCACGAUUUGCUCUAAGAUUCCCAUGUUUGUUAAGAUUUCUGGCCUAACAGGAAAUGAAAUAUGUUACUGUCUCUAAGGCUGGAAUUUCGUAAGUCCUAAAGCUGUCCCAAGAAGUUUUCCUGGAAGGACUUCAUAGAUGUCAUUUCCACACAUAAAGUGUAGGCUUGUUUCUUAAUAAUGGUCUUAUACCCAGUUAAGGGGAAUUUUUGGCAUAGUCAAUAUUUACCUACAUUCUGGGAAGAGGACAGAUUCUUAUUGAACCUAUAUAAGGAACCUACGUGAGCGUAAGUAUUAAUUCCCUCUAGAGGCAGAUAAACUAUUAUCAAUUUGGUGACAUCUUUUCUCCCUUAAAUUUAUAAAAUAGGGAAUUUGGUCAUAAAAAAUGAAAGAACUUAGUAAAGGCACUUCCUAUAUUAUUUAAUGUUUGUUCUCAUUGUUUUAUAGACAAGGCCAAUCAAUAUAUGUCAUUAUUAUCUACAAGAAUUAAAAAAAUUGUCCUGCUGACAUAUUAGCUUCUAUAUUAUAUAUUAUAUAUUAAUCUAUAUUAAGAUCUCUCAUGGGAUUUUUUUUCUUUUGAAAUUUGAAAGGUCAAUUGGGAAAAGUGACAUUUAAGAAGUGCUUCAAUGGGCUGUCAGUACAAAAAUAAAUACUGUUCUUGAAGAUACAGAAUAAAAAAGAAGACAAUUCCUGAUCUUAAGCUUCUGGCAGGGGCCUUUAAUAGAUGCGAGGAGAAAGGAAAUAACAUCUGUAAUUGUAAGAUUAAUUAUCACCGGUAAUAAAAAGAUGAAAUGGUUCUGAUUAACUGAGAAUGGAGAAAUGUGGAGUCAUGUAUUAUGGUGUAAUACACAGUCAAUUUGUAUGACAGAGUGAGGGCGUUGGCAAAUCUCCAGGGCCUUUGUUUUAUGCCAUGAAGUAAGAAUGUCAUCAAUAAACAGGACAUUUAAACCUAGGGACAAAAUUUAAAGUAAAUGAAUGUGUUGACAA